rnacentral:rRNA from 1 species
AUUGAACGCUGGCGGCAGGCCUAACACAUGCAAGUCGAACGAGUGGCGGACGGGUGAGUAAUGUCUGGGAAACUGCCUGAUGGAGGGGGAUAACUACUGUAAACGGUAGCUAAUACCGCAUACCAUCGGAUGUGCCCAGAUGGGAUUAGCUAGUCGGUGGGGUAAAGGCUCACCGAGGCGACGAUCCCUAGCUGGUCUGAGAGGAUGACCAGCCACACUGGAACUGAGACACGGUCCAGACUCCUACGGGAGGCAGCAGUGGGGAAUAUUGCACAAUGGGCGCAAGCCUGAUGCAGCCAUGCCGCGUGUAUGAAGAAGGCCUUCGGGUUGUAAAGUACUUUCAGCGGGGAGGCGUUACCAGCAGAAGAAGCACCGGCUAACUCCGUGCCAGCAGCCGCGGUAAUUC